rnacentral:tRNA from 1 species
GGGCCUGUGGCGCAGUUGGGAGCGUGCCUCAAUGGCAUUGAGGAGGUCAGGGGUUCGAAUCCCCUCAGGUCCACCA